rnacentral:rRNA from 1 species
GGCCUUUUAAGUUGGAUGUGAAAGCCUACGGCUUAACCGUAGAACUGCAUCCAAAACUAUUGGGCUAGAGUGUGGGAGAGGAAGAUGGAAUUAGUUGUGUAGGGGUAAAAUCCGUAGAGAUAACUAGGAAUACCAAAAGCGAAGGCAAUCUUCUGGAACACUACUGACGCUGAGGCGCGAAAGCGUGGGGAGCAAACAGGAUUAGAUACCCUGGUAGUCCACGCAGUAAACGAUGAAUGUUAGUCGUCGGGGCUCUCGUAGUUUCGGUGAUGCAGCUAACGCAUUAAACAUUCCGCCUGGGGAGUACGGUCGCAAGAUUAAAACUCAAAGGAAUAGACGGGGACCCGCACAAGUGGUGGAGCAUGUGGUUUAAUUCGAAGAUACGCGAAGAACCUUACCUGGCCUUGACAUUGAGAGAAUCCUUUAGAGAUAGAGGAGUGCCUUCGGGAGCUCGAAAACAGGUGCUGCACGGCUGUCGUCAGCUCGUGUCGUGAGAUGUUGGGUUAAGUCCCGCAACGAGCGCAACCCUCGUCACUAGUUACUAACGGUUCGGCCGAGGACUCUAGUGAGACUGCCUUCGCAAGGAGGAGGAAGGUGAGGACGACGUCAAGUCAUCAUGGCCCUUACGGCCAGGGCAACACACGUGCUACAAUGGUUAGGACAAUG